rnacentral:tRNA from 1 species
UGCAUCGGUCGGGAAUUGAAUUCGGGCCACCCGCGUGGCAGGCAAGCAUUCUACCACUGAACCACCGAUGC